rnacentral:rRNA from 1 species
GACGAACGCUGGCGGCGUGCCUAAUACAUGCAAGUCGAACGCAGUGGGGACGGGUGAGUAACACGUGGGUAACCUCCCAUCAGAAGGGAUAACACUUGGACACAGGUGCUAAACCGAUACAGAUGGCUGGACCCGCGGUGCAUUAGCUAGUUGGUGAGGUAACGGCUAACCAAGGCCACGAUGCGUAGCCGACCGGAGAGGGUGAUCGGCCACAUUGGGACGGAGACACGGCCCAGACUCCUACGUGAGGCAGCAGUAGGGAAUCGGCGGCAAUGGAGGAAAGUCUGACCGAGCAAAGCCGCGUGAGUGAAGAAGGUUUUCGGAUUGUAAAGCUCUGUUGUUAGAGAAGCGGUAUCUAACCAGAAAGCCACGGCUAACUACGUGCCAGCCGCCGCGGUAAUUC